rnacentral:lncRNA from 1 species
ACCAUUUCUGUGCACAUCUUUGAAUAGCAAAUAACACUUGCUGGAAGAUUUCAAAAAGAGGGGACAAUCCUUUUCCUUGCCGUGCUCCCGGUGUUAAAGAAGGCCUACAUUUCUCUUCUCCAAGGCAGUUUAUGAGUCAUCCCAUCCAGAGGAACCAGAUUGCUAAACUACAAAGAUAAGACCGGCCAAACCUUAAGACGUAAGCUCCAAAUUGUUCACUUGAAGAAAUUGAGCUGUAUAAAUCUUCUUUAACUUGGCCAACAUCACCCCCUUAACCGUGCAGAUAGAACUCAAUCCUUAUCACGAUAAAGGUUUAAAAGGGAUGCCAAGAGGGAACUUUCUGAGCCCUCUAUCCUCCACAAAAGAAACUCUUGAAAACCAAGGAGAUGCUGCAAGGGACAAC